rnacentral:rRNA from 2 species
UGGGGAAUAUUGCACAAUGGGCGAAAGCCUGAUGCAGCGACGCCGCGUGAGGGAUGACGGCCUUCGGGUUGUAAACCUCUUUCAGCAGGGACGAAGCGCAAGUGACGGUACCUGCAGAAGAAGCACCGGCUAACUACGUGCCAGCAGCCGCGGUAAUACGUAGGGUGCAAGCGUUGUCCGGAAUUACUGGGCGUAAAGAGUUCGUAGGCGGUUUGUCGCGUCGUUUGUGAAAACCAGCAGCUCAACUGCUGGCUUGCAGGCGAUACGGGCAGACUUGAGUACUGCAGGGGAGACUGGAAUUCCUGGUGUAGCGGUGAAAUGCGCAGAUAUCAGGAGGAACACCGGUGGCGAAGGCGGGUCUCUGGGCAGUAACUGACGCUGAGGAACGAAAGCGGGGGUAGCGAACAGG